rnacentral:rRNA from 1 species
GAUGAACGCUGGCGGCGUGCCUAAUACAUGCAAGUCGAGCGAACGGACGAGAAGCUUGCUUCUCUGACGUUAGCGGCGGACGGGUGAGUAACACGUGGAUAACCUACCUAUAAGACUGGGAUAACUUCGGGAAACCGGAGCUAAUACCGGAUAAUAUUUUGAACCGCAUGGUUCAAUAGUGAAAGACGGUCUUGCUGUCACUUAUAGAUGGAUCCGCGCUGCAUUAGCUAGUUGGUAAGGUAACGGCUUACCAAGGCGACGAUGCGUAGCCGACCUGAGAGGAUGAUCGGCCACACUGGAACUGAGACACGGUCCAGACUCCUACGGGAGGCAGCAGUAGGGAAUAUUGCGCAAUGGGCGAAAGCCUGACGGAGCAACGCCGCGUGAGUGAUGAAGGCCUUCGGGUCGUAAAGCUCUGUUGUUAGGGAAGAACAGAUGUGUAAGUAAAUGCGGACGUCUUGACGGUACCUAAAGAAAAAGCAACGGCUAACUACGUG